CUUCACGAGACGCCGUCGCCAAGCUCCGACUCGACGGCGCGCCAACCCAGCUCGGGGUGGCUCGGAUGACGAAGCGACCGGCACCGGACGGGCGCCGGUACGGGCGCGGC
rnacentral:ncRNA from 2 species